rnacentral:rRNA from 1 species
UACGAAGGGUGCAAGCGUUAAUCGGAAUUACUGGGCGUAAAGGGUGCGUAGGUGGUUUCUUAAGUCAGAGGUGAAAGGCUACGGCUCAACCGUAGUAAGCCUUUGAAACUGGGAAACUUGAGUGCAGGAGAGGAGAGUGGAAUUCCUAGUGUAGCGGUGAAAUGCGUAGAUAUUAGGAGGAAAUCCGAUUGCGCAGGCAGCUUACUAAACUACUACUGACGCUCAGGCACGAAGGCGUGGGGAUCAAACAGGAUUAGAUACCCUGGUAGUCCCUGA